UCAUCCGUUCCAUCCAUUCAAAGUGCUCUGCUCCGCUCUGCUCUCUGCCCCGCCCGCCGGCUCAUCUCCGCGCGCAGAGGCAGCGUCGCAGCGAGCACACCACCUUCGACCCCUCCUCCUCCCCGUAGCCUGCCGGCUCUUCCCGCCGCCUCGCUUGCGAGUGAGACGAUGGCGAGGCCGUCGUCGUCGCCGAUGGCGACGAGGCUGCCGCUGUUGCUUGUGCUGCUGUCGUCGCUGGCCCUGCAGGCGGCGGCGCAGAAGUACAAUGCGGUGUACAGCUUCGGCGACUCGAUCACGGACACGGGCAACCUGUGCACCAACGGCCGCCCCUCGGCGAUCACCUUCACGCAGCCGCCCUACGGCGAGACCUACUUCGGGAGCCCCACCUGCCGCUGAUCCGACGGCCGGGUCAUCGUCGACUUCCUCAGCACCAAGUACGGCCUCCCCUUCCUGCCCCCCUCCAAGUCCACCUCCGCCGACUUCAAGAAGGGCGCCAACAUGGCCAUCACCGGCGCCACCGCCAUGGACGCCCCCUUCUUCCGCUCCCUCGGCCUCUCGGACAAGAUCUGGAACAACGGGCCCAUCAGCUUCCAGCUCCAGUGGUUCCAGACCAUCACCUCCUCCGUCUGCGGCAGCAGCUGCAAGAGCUACCUGGCCAACUCGCUCUUCAUCUUCGGGGAGUUCGGGGGGAACGACUACAACGCGAUGCUGUUCGGCAACUACAACACGGACCAGGCGAGCACGUACGCGCCGCAGAUCGUGGACACCAUCGGCGCCGGCGUGGAGAAGCUGGUCGCGAUGGGCGCGGUGGACGUGGUGGUGCCGGGGGUGCUCCCCAUCGGCUGCUUCCCCAUCUACCUCACCAUCUACGGCACCUCCAGCGCCGCCGACUACGACUCCCUCGGCUGCCUCAAGAAGUUCAACGACCUCUCCACGUACCACAACAGCCUGCUGCAGGCCAAGGUGUCGGCGCUCCAGGCCAAGUACAAGUCGGCGCGCAUCAUGUACGCCGACUUCUACGCCGGGGUGUACGACAUGGUCCAGAGCCCCAGCAAAUACGGGUUCAGCUCGGUGUUCGAGGCGUGCUGCGGGUCGGGGGGAGGCAAGUACAACUACGCCAACAGCGCGCGGUGCGGCAUGUCCGGCGCCUCCGCCUGCGCCAGCCCGGCGUCGCACCUCAGCUGGGACGGCAUCCACCUCACCGAGGCCGCCUACAAGCAGAUCACCGACGGCUGGCUCAACGGCGCCUUCUGCCACCCAGGCAUCACCCACUAGCCAGCCACUCCCACUGGUCGAUCAAUCAGCUCAUGCAUCGUCGUCCAUGGAUCCAUCAUUAAUCAAUCAAUCAAUCGAUUAUUAUUAUUAUAUUAUUAUAAUUAUUUGUUCAGUCGGGUUAAUUUUUAGGAAACGUUUCUGGGGACUGGCUAAGGCUGGGUUCCUGGUCUGGUCCGGUGGCAAAAAAUCGGGGCGCGUGUGUGGUGAUGAAGAAAGGGGGGAAAAUGACGGCAACUCUCGUGGAAUAGUACUGCCUGUGUUGCUGUGAACCUGUAACCUCCCCGCAAAAAAAAAAAAAAGAACCUGUAACCUGAUAAUUGUUUUGUUCCACGGAAAAGUGGUACAGUUGAAUGAAAAGGAAUGAAAUAAUAAACACGAUAAUAAUGGAAGGAA